AAUCACAUUUACCCACCGCGAGUAUGAUGAAGUGGAAGCCCCUGUCACCACCCCCAUUACCAUCUUGCCAUUUGACAAUCCAGUUCAACGUUCCUUUUCCUUUGGCUUUGCAGAAGUUUCACUUCUUCGUAGCCUCCUACCUCCCCACCUUCGCCGUUGUACCACGUUUGAACUCAUAACAGCUUGUUUAUGGCGUUGUCGAACCCUUGCUAUAAACCUUGACCCUGAUGAAGAGGUACGCAUGAUAUGCGUUGUUAAUGCACGUUCUAAAUUCAAUCCCUUAUUCCCAUCGGGAUAUUACGGGAAUGUGUUUGUCUUCCCAGCAGCAAUAACAACUGUUAAAAGUCUCCGUGAGAAACCAUUAGGGUAUGCAGUGGAAUUAAUAAAACAAGUGAAAGCAAGUGUGACAGAGGAAUAUGUGAAAUCCGUGGCAGCUUUAAUGGUGGCUCGGGGUAAACGAAUCCAUUUCCCGAAUGUUAUUGGUACGUACAUUAUAUCAGAUUUAACAAAGGUCGGAUUUGAAGAUACAGAUUUCGGAUGGGAUAAGGCUGUGUUUGGAGGGACAAUGAUAGCGGUUGGGGUGAUAAGCUUUUUAAUGCCUACCAAGAAUAAGAAAGGAGAAGUUGGAAGUGUGGCAUCAAUUUGUUUACCAGCUCCAGCGAUGGAAAGGUUUGCGAAGGAAUUGGAGAACAUGUUGAAGCAGCAGCCAAGUGAGGGUAAAAAGAGUAAAUCAAUUUCAAUUUCUUCUGCUUUGUGAAAGAUAUGAUAGUGCGUAUGUAUUAGUGUAAGGGUGACUGGUAAGACAAGUAGGGAUGAGAAAAUAAAGGGAAAUCAAAUUUAAGUCAAUUGCAGCAUUUAGUUGAAUUCAAUUCGAGUUUUGUGAAAUUUGCUCCCAAGUAAUAAUGAAAUAAAUUUGAUUUGAUUUAGAAGUUAAAAAUCACCUUCCAAGUCGAGAAGCAUUAAUGGAGGAUACGUUACACAGAAAUUAAAAAUAAUAAUUAUUCAAAUUCAAUUUUUAUUUAAUUUUAAUUAGUUUUUUUUAUUUUUAAUAAUAUAUAAAUAUAUUUUAUAUCUUAAUUAAUGAAAAAAAAAGCUUUAAAAAAUUUGUUAGUAACAAAUAAAUAAAAACGAAAUUCUGCAAUGAAAAAAUCAUGGAAGUCUAUCGUUAAAGAUUUGACCAAACAUGGAAUUCCCUAAAGAGAUAAAUAGCAUGAAGAAGAGCGAAAACGUUUUGCAAGAGACCGAAAGCAUAGAAUGUAUUCAACUUAUUCACUAUCUAUCUAUAUAUCAAAUAUAGAUUAAAUUUGUUGAUUCAUUACACACUUUCUAUGAAUGUCAAGUACAUUAGCUUCAUGAAAGCAAUCAACUAAACAUUGUACUGGUUAUAACACUUAUGCUACGUUUAAUUGAAGUAUUAUUAGUUUUUACACAUGUUUUAGUAUAUAAGCUAGCAAUAAACUAAUUUAAUUAGUAGUAUUUAGCCUUCCCUGUGACUUGUUUUAAGUAAAGAGAAAGACAAAUAUUUGUUUUUUUUGAAGAGACUACUUUUUACAAAAGUUUUUACUCAUCUUUCUAUUUUCAAGCUUAAAUUUGUACUAACUACUCUUUAUUUUAGGUCAAACUAUUGUAAUACAUAUGUAAAAAUAAGCUUUUUCUUUAUAUAUUACACUAGUCACCAAAGACUCUUUAAUGUUAUACAAAGUAUCAAAUGAUACAAUGGCAUUUCACACCUGAAGUGGAGUGGAGAGCUGCUAGAGUGGGAGCAUCCAGAUCGUGAAUGGUUCGCAAAGCUACUAGGAUUGGUGGUUUGAGAGGAUUUUAGAAUUAAGUUCAUGCAUAGUAUAUAUUGCAUGGUUGGUUUCCUACUUACCUUGGUGUUAAAAAGGGGUACCAUAUAGGGAUGUUGGGCAUGGGUCCUAGCCAUUGAGUUCUUUACUCCAUGGAUGUUGUGGUAAGGUGCCUAAUGUUAGCCUAGGACACUGUUGGAGUUUGACUUGAAGGGACUAGACAAGCUGUUUACUAAAACCCAAAUGUGAUGGGUUGAUGGAUGUCGUUAAGAACCCCUUCCAAUAUGUCUUUUAUGGAUUGUGCGGGCUCACUUGGUGCUACAAGAUAUUUAGGCAACGCGUGUUUCUUUCUUGGUGAGGCAAUAGGCUUUGUGUUGUCGAGUUUAUGUCUAUAACACCCUCUCCCAACCUAAUCAUUGGGUCCGAGCUAUAGGAUGUUAUAUUCAUUGUUGGAGCAACUACAAUCAUUUUACAACAAAACAUUCAUAUAAACAUGCAGUUCAAUGAUAAACACACUCAUUUAUGGUCGAACAAUCAAAACUAGGUAUUAAUCAAGACUACAAAAGCUCUUUUGUUAACCCAAGAUCAAAAUAAGACCAAAUUGCAAAGUUUUAAAAGUUUAAAGAUGAAGUCAUGAUGUUGUCAUUCCACGUCAGGACGUCGCCAAAACAAUAUGUCACGUCAUGACGUCACUUACUAUCGAUUGAUGUUGUGAUAAGGAAAGUUGCUCGCUGAGACGAGGACUCUAUUUUUGGUAAAAAUAAACCAUUUGGUACCUAUUUCAAAGCUCCCAUCUAAACCCAUCAAAUAACCAUUCAAUUUGAUCACUCAUUCAAAAUGAGUUCAACUAUUACAAAUCAUUCAUUCAACUAGACAUCAAUUGUUUUCAUUUCAUACAUUUCAGAUUUUCAUACCAAGACCAACAUUCAAGUCACCACAAAACAAGUUCAAUACUUUUUCAUAUGCCAUUUAUAUGUGUUGACACCAUUUUUUUAUAAAACGAGGUCGACUUGGAUUUUGAAAAUGAAAAAUGAAUAUGGGAGUCACCACCAAUCUUUUUUGAUGAGGUGUGAUCGGUUCGCCUCGAAAAGUGGUUGUUGUUAAUAAUUUAAUUUCAUUAAAACAACGAUUUUGGUCCACGAAAUUCAAAAAAAUGGGUUAGGGAGUCGGUUACGUACGAGGAAGGAUUAGCACCCUCGUACCGCCCAAAAUUGGUUCCUAGUUGAUUAAUUAAUGUCUUAGUGUCGAAGAUUGAAAACUUUAAAGAGAUUUAAAAUACGAUUAUUUAUUGAAAUUUUGAAAUUUUCGGGAAAUGGGCAUAUUUCACGUUAUUCGAGAAAUAAAAUUAUAUUCAGUAAGUUAGGACACAAUAUCUUGAAUUCCCAAUGCGCGAAUGAAUGCCAAAAAUUUACUUAUUUAAAACAUAUUUAGCUAUCUCGGAUUUAAAAAAGGGAUCAUGCCCAGUAAGUUAGGACACGAUCUUUUCUUAAUUCCCGAGAUCGUUUAAAACUUGAGAAAAAAAGGGAUCAUGCCCAGUAAGUUAGGACACGAUCUCUUCUUAAUUCCCAAGAUCAUUUAAAACUUGAGUUUGAAGAGAUUCGUGUAUUUAGAUUUAUUGUGAAAAUUGAAACCCCGUAAGUUAGGGUACGACCUUCUCGAAUCUAAACACGAGAUGUUAUUUAUUAGAUACAGAUUUUGGUAUAUCGAGUGAAAUAAAGCACAAAGUCGUAAAUAAAAUGCGAAAAUAGAUUAUAUCGUUGGUAUGCGUGGCAAAGCAAAUGAUAAAUACGAUUAUGCAAACAUGAAUAGCACGAGCAACAGCAAAUAAAAGAUAAAAUAAAAGACGAAUUAAUCAUGCAAGAUAAUAAGCAGAUAAAUUAUUCGAAUAAAAUGGGCAAAAAAUAAAAAGUAAACACCGCGUGAAACAACGAAACCGUAAAAGAAAUAAAUAAAAAAUAGAAUAUAUAAAAUAUAUAUGUGUAUGUGUAUAGACAUAAACUUACAAAAUACGAAGAAUAUAUGUAUGUACAUAUAUUUUACAAUUAUGAAAUAUAAAAAUAUAUUUAAGUAUGUAUAUGUACACAUAUAUGUAUAUGAGAAUUAUAAAAUAAAAAUAUAAAAGUAAGUGUAGAUACACGUUUAUAAAAAAUUAGAAAUAUGUACGUAUGUAUAUAUCGUAAAAAUGUAAGCAUAUAUAUAUAUUGAAGUUAUAAAAUAUAAAAGACAUAUAUACGUGUGUAUAUGUAUGAGUUAUAAAAUAUAUACAAAUAAAUAAUAAUAAUAAUAUGGGGUAACUUUUAAGUAAUAAUACAUGAUAAUUUUAGAAUAAUAAUACAUAUUAAAAUAAUAUAUACAUAUAUAAAGAUAAAAGAUAUAUAAAGAUAAAAUAAUAUAUACAGGAGUAAUAAUAAUUAAUAGCAAACUAAAAACACAAAAGGGAUUAAAUCGAUGUCUAACCUAAAUUUAAGGGAAAGAAAACGAAAUUAAAUAUCAUUUGGGGGUCAAGUCAAAACACGCACAAAAAUAAGGAUCUAAACAAUAAAUAUCCCAAUCCACCCUAUGCGCGGCGUUUCAAUAGGGACUAAAGUGAAGCAAUUAUAAAAGUACGGGGUGCGAUUCAUUAAUAAAAAAGGGCGAAUUGCAAUAUGCACGAAAAUUGGAGGGACCAAAGUCGAAAAUAGUCCAUUGCGACAAAACGCGCUGAUCCUUCCCUUGGGUCGAGUCACCGCGUGGAUCCCGGCCCUAUACGACGCCGUUUUGAAACCACUAAAAUGGCAACAAACGAAGUCGUUUCACGCCACAUAUAUGAUUCAACAUAAACACUAAACAUCAGCAGACACUCCUUUUUUAAAAAAAAAAUCAUAACAGCCCUAAAGUCUAUCCUCUGCGCCACUCUGCUGCUUUCAGACUCACCAAGGCUCCGAUUACGACGGAGUUCGACGGCUCCGACGACAAGGUACACUCCCUUCCCUCUCUGUAUUUUAUCUUAUGCAUAAAAACAUAAAAAAAAACGAAGAACACCCACAAGAAAUUGAAAAUCGCUUCUGUUUUGCUUGUUUUUUUUUUAUUUUUGAAUAUAUAUCAAAAUAAGAAGAAUAGACCAAAAAAAUAUAAGAAUAGAAAGGAAAAUGAAAAAUCUUUUAGAAUCACCUCUGUUUUUGUAUUUUAUUUUUUCAAUAUUUUUUCAUACAAUAUCUCCCCCCUUUUACAUUGUUUGGCUUCUAGCUUAUAAAGCCGAAACACCAAUGCUCUUUUUUAUUUUUACACUGUUUCUGCUCUUUUAUGCUGCUUCUAUUUCUUUUUCGUUUUGCUUGCAUGUCUGUAGAUUCAAUUGGCAGAAAGCUUUUCCAUUUUGGUGCAACAUGGGUGAAGGCGUCGUCCUCGAGCGUGGUGUGCGCUGAGGGCGCACAUGGGGUAGUUGCGACGGAGUUUCCUGAUGCUGUUUAGUUUUUGGGCCCUAUUGGGUCGUUUAGGGUUUUAAAAUUUGCCCUGUUUUGGGCCGUUGUACAUGGACUUCUAUUAUUUUUUUCACUAUUUAUUUUUUUGGUUUUAUUUCGGGCCCAAGCGAAAUAUGGGCUUUACAGCUACCCCUCUUUGCUCAUUUUCGUGUAACGAGAAUAGAGCAAAGACUAAAAAAGACCAAUUUUGCCCGGUCUGGUCGAUUCUUGACUUGUUCUGGUGCUUCUCUUCUUCAAGUAGCUUCGUUCUAGUCCACUGUGUCUUGUUUUCGAUCCACUCUGCUGCAACUUUAGGGGACGAGAUUUGUGGUUUUAGCCUGCUCUACUGCAAUGUCAGGGAGAUAGGACUUGUUGCUUCAACCUGCUCGACUGCGACCUUAAGGAGAUAAGGUUUGAUAUAAUAAUAUUUAAUCCGACCCUCUACAACUUCAAAGGUAUAAGAGUUUUAAUCCGCUCUACUACAACUUCAAAGAGAUAGGAUUAGUAGCUUCAGUCUGCUCUACUGCGACCUAAGAGAGAUAAGGUUUGUAUCUUCAACCUGCCACACUACAACUUCAGGGGGAUAAGGUUUGUUACUUUAACCUACUCUACUGCAACUUCAGAGAGAUAAGGUUUGAUAUGAUCUGCUCUACUGCAACUUCAGAGAGAUAAGAUCUGCAAUUUAUAGCUUCCAUCUGUUCCACUGCAACUUCAGGGAAAUAAGAUUCGCUAUCUUUGAUCUCUUCCACUACUGUUUAGGGAGACAGGGUCUAAAAUCUUUAACCUAUUCUGCUGCAACUCAGGGAGAUAGGAUUGGUGGCUUAAAUCUUCUUCCCUACUACAUUGGGAAGAUAAGAUUCGCCAUCUUUAAUCUGCUCCACUAGUGCUUAGGGAGACAGGAUCUACAAUCUUCAACCUACUCUACUGCUAUUUAAAGAGAUAAGGCUGGUGUUUUUUAUCUGCUUCACUGCUGGUACAGGAAGACAAAAUCUACAAUCUUCAACUUACUCUACUGCUAUUCAGGGAGAUAGCACUGGUGGCUUAAAUUUGCUUCUCUACUACCUUGGGAAGAUAAGAUUCGCCCUCUUCAAUCUGCUCCACUACUGCUUAAGGACACAUGAUCUGCAAUCUUCAACCUUCUCCACUACUACCCAGGAAGAUAAGGAUAGUGCUUUCAAUCUGCUUCACUGCUAGUACAGGAAGACGAGAUCUACAAUCUUCGACCUACUCCACUGCUGCUCAGGGAGAUAGGACUGGUGGCUUAAGUCUGCUUCCUUACUACCUUUUGAAGAUAAGAUUCGCCGUCUUCAGCUUUAAUCUGCUCCGCUGCAAUGCCAGGGAAACAAGAUUCGCUACCUUUAGCUUUAAUCUGUUCCACUACAACACCAAAGAGAUAGGAUUCGUUGCCUUCAGCUUUAAUCCGCUCCACUUCAGCUUUAAUCUAUCCCACUGCAACGCCAGGGAAACAAGAUUCGCUACAUUUAGCUUUAAUCUAUUUUGUUGCAAUGCCAGGGAAACAAGAUUCACUGUCUUUAGUCUUAACACUAGAAAGAUAAGAUUCACUGCCUUCAGCUUUAAUCUGCUCCGCUACAACGCUAGGAAAAAAGAAGACUCACUGUCUUCAGUUUUAACGCUAGGGAGAUAAGAUUCACUGCCUUCAGCUUUAAUCUACCCUGCUGCAAUGCCAGAGAAACAAGAUUUGUUUUCGAUCUGCUUCACUGCCAGUAUAGGAAGACAAGAUCUAUGAUCUUCAACCUGCUCCACUGUUGCUCAGGGAGAUAGAACUAGUGGCUUAAAUCUACUUCCCUACUACAUUGGAAAGAUAAGAUUCACCGUCUUUGAUCUACUCCACUACUGCUUUGGGAGACAGGAUCUGCAAUCUUCAACCUACUCCACUGCGGCUUAGGGAGAUAGGACCAGUUUUCGAUCUGCUUCACUGCUAGUACAAGAAGACAAGAUCUACAAUCUUCAACCUAUUCCACUGCUGCUCAAGAAGAUAGGACCAGUGGCUUAAAUCUGCUUCCCUACUACCUUGGGAAGAUAAGAUUCGUCGUGAUGAUUCCAAUUCAUCCCACUGCAACUUUAGGGGUAUGGGUAGCUUCAUUGAUCUGUUCUCUACGGAACAUGACCUGUAAAAUCUAUUUUACAGACCUAGUUAUGCCUAGUGUUUAGGAUGUCAUUGUACAAGCCUAAAUUUACCAGGGGCCCAAAAACCCAACACACCACAACCGAGACAACAAACCUAAACAAUUACUAACCCAAACCCAGCCCAAUAACCAACCAGCCCAAACCCAAGGCCAAAUAUCCUAGCCCAACAAACCAAAGUCAGACUAGGGUUUUAGAGACUGAAACCCUAGUGUCGCAUUUGCUAACCUUUAGUCUUCUGCCAUCGCUGCCUUUUGACGCUGCGCCACCAACACUGUCACCGUUCACCUACCCAUCAAUCACCCUACAAAACAGAGCAAACACGCAAGGCAGAAAACAAGCAAUAGGGAAUAGAAAUAAUAUUUUAUUAUGUCAAUUUUUGGCUAUAAAAAGGCCGAAUGUCAUCUCCUGAGGGUUCUCCCCUUUUGUACGAACACAUAGAAAAAAUAAAAUAAAAGUAAGAAACAUUGAAGGUAUUUUCUUUCUUUCGGCUUUAUAGAUUUUUUUUCUUUUGAUUUGUUUUUUCUUUUUACAUGUAUAUAUAAACGGACACAGUAAAUAAAAGAGAAGAGGAACCCACCAGAGUCGUGCUGCGCCUUUGUUGUCGGAGACUCCUUCUUUGGCGACUGAAUCGAUUGUUGAAAGGACUAAGGGUCCUUUUUCUUUUGUUUUUUGGUGUUUUGAGACCGAAUUUGGGCUAAAGGGGGUCGAGAUCUAAAAAAAUAAGUUUUUUUGCCUUCGCCAGCCACCGUGUUCGGUGGCGUUGGCGACCAAAAUCUGGCACGGUGGCCAUCGUUGGAGUUAUAGACUGGAGGGGAGGCGUUUUUGAGAGAAAGAUAGUUUUUUUUAAAUGGGAAGCAGAAAAUGAAUUUUUGUUAAAAAAUUUGAUUUAUAAAGGCAUAUAAAACGGCGUCAUUUUGGGCCCAAGCUUCAGGCGCCAAAACGAUGCUGUUUAGGAGGCCGACCCGAGAUUCGACCCAGAUGCCCUCAGAUCUGCAUAUUUUUCUGCAGAAGGGCUAAUUGCACUUUUAGCCCUUCCGAUUUUUAGUGAUUUUCAAUUAAGCGUUUUUGUUGUUUUCAAUUGCACCCCAUAAUAUGUUGUGUUUUCAUUUUGGUCCUUGAUGGAAUUAUGCAUUUUGGGGAACAGGGAAUAUUGCUUGUUUGGUCCCUUCCAGUUAUUUGUGCAUCCAUUUAGAUCUUUUUUUAAUUUAUUUCAGAUUUGACCCCAAAUUUUGUUUUAAAAAUUCAAUUUUAUCCUUUUUCGUUAUUUUGGUUAUUUUAUUAAUAAAUUUAUUAUUAUAGGUAUUAUUAUUGUAUUAGUUUAUAUAUCUAUUUACCUUUUAUAUAUUAUUUUAUUUUAUUACGUACUAUUCUUUUAAUUCUUUUUAUCAUAUAUAUCUAAUUUCAUAAUGUGUUAGUUUAUGUUUUUAUACUAAUUCAAUAUUGUCUACAUAUUUUUAAUGAUUUUACUUUAUAAUAAAAUUUUUAAAAAAAUUAUUUAUAUAUACUUCUAUACUUUAAAAGUUAAUAAUAUUUUAUACAAUACUAUUUUAUAUAUAUAUAAAUGGUAAUAAACUAUUUUUAUUCUACAUACAUAUCUUUGAUUUACGUACAUAUACAUACUUAUAUAUUUUAUAAUUUAUUUGCAUAUCUAUAUAUAUAUAUGCAUUUUUAUUUUCAUAAACAUAUUAAUACAUACUUAUAUAUAUAUUAUACUUUAUAAUUUCAAUAUACAUAUAUAUAUACAUACUUAUAUAUCUUUUAUGUUUUUAUUCAUUUUCUUUAUUCAAUUAUUUAUUCAUGUUUUCAUCGUUAUUUCAAAAGAAUGUUUUAAUCUCAUUUGCUUAUAUGCUUGUUAUCUUGUAUGUUGUUUAUCUUAUCUUUGAUGUUAUUUCUAGUAUUAUUAUUUUACUUACAUCGUCAUCAUUGUUAUUCCAUUACACCCAUUUUUACUCAGAUUUGUAAAAAAGGAAGAUUUCGAAAAUAAAUGUAAUACUCGGUAUUUGGGACCUUCGAAAGGAUUGAACCCUAACAUAUUGGGUUCCAAUUUUUUUCAUUGAAUCUAAAUAAUCAAGAAUACUCUUUAACCAAAAAACAUAAAUAAAAAGCUCAUUAUCGGGAAUUCAAUACGUUGCAUCCUAAUGCAUUGGAUAUGACACGUUGUUUUCUCGAGAUGAGGAUUUUUCUAAAAAAUAAUAAAGGUAAUAUUUUACGUUUGGAAAUUCGAGAAAACGUGCCCUAAUGUGUUGGGUUUCAAUUUCUUCGUUCGACCAAAUAGCCAAAUAUCCUUUUAAAAUUUCAAAGUAAGGCAAUAUUUUGCGUUUGGAAAUUCGAGAAAGCGUGCCCUAAUAUGUUGGGUUUCGAUUUCUCGUUUAGCCAAAUAGCCAAAUACCCUCUUAAACUUUAAAAGUAUGGGUUUUGGAAACCAUAAGGUGAUCUUGGUUUCGAGAGUUUAAAGUAACGUAUCCUAAUGUGCUGGAUGUGAUAUUCUUUCAGAACAAGAGAAUAUUAAAUUCCAACCCAUAUUGUUCGAAAGUUUUUAGGAUCGUAUUUUUAAAAUUCUUCAAAGUUUUCAAUUUUUGACAUUAAGACAUUAACUAAUCAACUAGGUACCAAUUUUUAGGCGUUACGAGGGUGCUAAUCCUUCCUCGUACGUAACCGACUCCCAAACCCAUUUUUUUGAAUUUCGUGGACCAAAAUCAUUGUUUUAAUAAAAUUAAAUCGUUUAUUAAAAACAACCACUUUUCAAGGUGAUCCAAUCACACCUUAUCAAAAAGGAUUGGUGGCGAAUCACGUUUUCGUUUUCGUUUUCAAAAUCCAAGUCGACCCCGUUUUCACAAAAAAAUAGUGUCAACGAUCAUGAUUAGAAUGAAUCAAAUGCUUCUAACUAGCUGUGUAUGUAUGAUAUUUGCAUGAAUGCCGAAUGUCAUUUUUCAAAAAUGAUCUCUUUUUAAUGUUUGGGUUGUCCUUGCUCAAUGUUCAUCAAGGUUUUAUCAUUGAUGCGUCACGAUACCUUCUUGUUCAGCUAGUAUCUUUAACAGAAAAACCAAAGAAAUAGUCGCAAUUUAGACUAUUUUUUCUCCAAUGCUUCUAACCCUUAAGUUGGUUAGUUUUAAACAAUAGCCCUGUUUCAGGUCCUCGUACUAUUUAGAAGCUUUCAAAGUAAUAUGCAGAACUCCUUCUACUUGAAUAUUGUCAGUCCAUUAAUCGUUACUUCAAUGAAAAAUGCUUGAAAAAGAUUAUGAGAAUGGACAAUAUGAAGUUUUGUUGAGAGCAAAGCUCGAAAUGAAUGAAUUAAUCAAGAUAGCAAAUUUUGCUAAAAUACAAAAUGAGCAUAAAUUAAUCAAGAUGGCAUAUUUUUCCAAAAUAAAAAAAUGAAUAAAAUGGAAAUAAGUGCCCCAGAUAUCGCAGCAUGAGCUUUUCUGCCCCAAACAUCUUGAGGACCCUUUUGAACUUGAUAUGUGUUUAGAAGUCCUAGAAGACUUUGUUGAUGCCCCAAGAUGUAGCAUCUCUCCUUCUUAUUAAUUCGGAGAGGACAAGACUACCGCAUGCCCCAUCUUCGAUCAAAAUUUGAACUACCCAUUCCUAGGUUUUCAAUUCAACACCCCAUUGGUCUCAAGGCACCCUUUGCGGGAUUUCACCUUGGCCUCUCCUUUUUCUUUUUUCGCUCUUCUUUUCUUUUCUUUUCUUUUUUCUUUUCGUUUCUUUUUUUCAAGUGAAGUAUUUACUGCUUGAAUCAUAAUUCUCAAGAAUAGGCAGGUUCUUGCCAUCCAUCUUGGUCAAUAUCGACACUUUUUCAGAUAAGGCCUUCCACAUAAGGUCCUUUUCAGUUUGGAAUCCACUUUCUUCUGAAGUCUUUUUGUAUGGAAAGGAUCUUCUUCGAUAUUAGGUCCCCCUCAUGAAAUUCUUUGGGGAACCUUUUUUGGUGAGCUCGCAUCAUUCGCUUUUGGUACAUUUAACCAUGACAGAUAGCUUUCAACAUUUUCUCUUCAAUCAAAUUUAACUGAUCAUAUCGGGCCUGGAUCCAUUCUGCUUCAUCCCACUCCAGCUCUGACAAGACUCGAAGGGAAGGAAUAUCAACUUGAAUUGGUAAAACUACCUCUAUUCUAUAUACCAAUAAGAAAUGAGUUGCCCCGGUAGAGGUUUUUGUUUUUUUUAUGUUUUUAUGUUUUUUUAUUUUUUUUACUGUACCAUUCAUUUUGGGGCGAUAUGGUGUUAAUCUUGAACAGACUGCAAACUUCUGAUAUCGUGCUGUUGUUCAAAUUUAGUGCAUUGUCAGAUAUGAUCCUUUUUGGCAUUCCAUACUGACAUAUAAUUUUUUUUAAGAAUUUGCUGACUGUCAGCUUUGUGACAUUGGUAUAUGAAGCGGCUUCUGCCCACUUAGUGGAGUAAUCGAUGACCCCUAUAAGCUUUUGGAGAGAUCGACCCAAUGACAUCCAUGCCCCACAUAGAGAAAGCCUAUGGGAAAGUUAUAACAUUAAGAGAUGAAGGAGGCACAUGAAUCUUGUCUCCAUAAAUUAGGCACUUAUGCAUUUCUUGGUAUAACUGAUGCAAUCUCCUUCCAUGGUGGACUAACAGUAUCUCAUAAUUUGCUUGGCCAUUGCAAAAUCAUUAGAAUGUGUUCUUCAAACACCCUUAUGGACCACUUUCAAUAUUUUUUUAGCCUCAACAGUGUCCAUACGUCUUAGUAGCUCAGUCAUAUCUUGAAACGAUCAUGCGAAAACAUUUUUGAAUUUUUGGAGUAAUUCAAUGACGUAUCGUUUUGUCUUUGCGGUGAUACAGACUCCGAUCUUCACCUCUUUCUCUUCUCUUAAGCUCACAAUUUCCAUUGAUUUUUUGUAAGGUAGGAUCUGUUUCUCGACUUGUUCUGCCAUCCUUAACAAAUCAGGAGAUAAACUACAAUCUUGGUUGUCUUCAAAGUCUUGAGGUUCCUCUGGACACAUAUCUUGCUCAAAAGGAGGUUCUAAGUCAAUAGUAGUGUCGCUUAUAUCAUUGAUAUCUGGAGACUUGCUAUAGGGAUGAAGGAAGACUCAAAGAGCUAAUAAAUCAAAGGAUAAUUAUUUGUGUGGUAUGAGUAUGAAUGAAAUGGAAGGAACAAAAAAACAUUUGCCAAGACAAAACACAAAAAUGCAUUUCGUUGAAAUAAAAUAGUAGACAUGUGCCUUUUUCACAAAAAAAAAGAUUUUCUAUUGCUCCCAGGAUUAGAGCAAUAAGAGUGCUCUGAAUAUUACUCUGAACUAGUCCUAAAAAAGACAAGAAUCUCCUCCACAGUCCAGUUGUUUAGAACACCUCUAGGGAUGUAGAAACAAAUUCCGGAUAGGUUUUUUUAUUUUUGUUUUUUAGUCAGUACCUUCUUCAAAGCAUAAACAUCUUUACCCUUCGAACCAUUAACAUCUUCAAAGAAUUCUAAUUCUUUAUCAUCCAUCAGGCUCUGUACAAGAAUUUUGAACUCAACGCACUUUUGGAUUUUAGGAAAUUUAUUGUGUGAAAUGAAAUGUAAUGUUAAUGAAUAGAAAAAGAUGCAUGCAAUGAAAUGUAAUGCAGAUGCAUGAAUGCAAAAAGAGACGUUGAUCUUGAUUCAAUUCCAUUAGAACAACUUUACUAGAAAAAAGAUCUUUUUACAUAAAGUAGAUAUUUAUACGGCCUUGCCCUCAUACUCCAGGUGAAGACAUUGAUCCCUUUUCCUCUUGUCCAAAUGUUAAGAUUGAAUCUUGCGAACUCUCCAGAGGGGUGCACUUUAUAACUCCUUUUUUUGCUUAAUUCUUGCCGCGACUCAUUGCUCACUCAUCCUCGUGAUGUUCAUUAGCUUCUUUAUGACGUGGCAGCUCUCAAAUAAUCUUUGUUGGUUUGAAUCCUCAGGUAGCGAAGCAUAAUUGUAUAUUCCUUCACAAACUUUUAGCCUUCUCUCAUUGUGUUUAAUCAGACCAUAUUCGGGCAGUCGCAUUAUAUUCUACUUUGUCAAGAAAUCUAUUUUCCAUGACAAGCUCUCUAUUUAGCAACUGAACGUAAAUCAACACAUCUUUUCUAUUUGAUGAAAAAUGCAAUGCCAUGUAAUCAUAAUCAAAAAAAAAAUGAAACGGGUUAGUACAAAGCAAAAGUAAGCAAGAAAGAAACAAAUAGAGCACCUAGUCGGUGGACCACUAGGGUUUGGCGUGGUUCUACCUAGGGUAGCUUCUUAGAGCUCACUAUAUGUGGUUCGGUCCUAAAGUAAAGGUACCUGAACUAGCAGAUUCCUCAAUCCUUACCCAUUAUAGGCUCAAACGGACCGAGUUCAGUUCAGGGGGAUACAUUUCCUUAUGGUUGCACGGAGAUGAAAAUCUCACGAAGACAUAAGUACGGAUAUAUCCUGAAAGUGAUUUACUAUCCCAUGAGGAGAUGAAAUCCUCACGAAGGUGUAGUUUCUCACUCCCACUUAGAAGGGUAUAACCGAGUGGUAAUGCAAUGCAAUGUGAAGAAAUAUAUCCAAACUUAAACUAACACAGCAGUUACAAACCAUAGUGAUAAAGAUCAAAAUAAAGACGAAUGAAAUGAAAUAAAAGGAUCGCACAUUUAAACCAAGUUUUCAAUUUUUGACAAAAAGAAAAAAAGUAACCAACACGUGGCUUGACUCUAUUUUUAAGUCCCCAAUGGAGUCGCCAAGCUAUUGACACCAUUUUUUUUAUAAAACGGGGUUGACUUGGAUUUUGAAAAUGAAAAACGAAUAUGAGAGUCGCCACCAAUCUUUUUUGAUGAGGUGUGAUCGGGUCACCUUUAAAAGUGGUUGCUUUUAAUAAAUUAUUUAAUUUUAUUAAAACAAUGAUUUUGGUCCACGAAAUUCAGAAAAAUGGGUUCAGGAGUCGGUUAUAUACGAGGAAGGAUUAGCAACCUCGUAACGCCCAAAAUUGUAAGUGUAGAUACACGUUUAUAAAAAAUUAGAAAUAUGUACGUAUGUAUAUAUCGUAAAAAUGUAAACAUAUAUAUAUUGAAGUUAUAAAAUAUAAAAGACAUAUAUACGUGUGUAUAUGUAUGAGUUAUUAAAUAUAUACAAAUAAAAAAUAAUAAUAUGGGGUAACUUUUAAGUAAUAAUACAUGAUAAUUUUAGAAUAAUAAUACAUAUUAAAAUAAUAUAUACAUAUAUAAAGAUAAAAGAUAUAUAAAGAUAAAAUAAUAUAUUCAGGAGUAAUAAUAAUUAAUAGCAAACUAAAAACACAAAAGGGAUUAAAUCGAUGUCUAACCUAAAUUUAAGGGAAAGAAAACAAAAUUAAAUAUCGUUUGGGGGCCAGUCAAAACACGCACAAAAACAAGGAUCUAAACAAUAAAUAUCCCAAUCCACCCUAUGCGCGGCGUUUCAAUAGGGACUAAAGUGAAGCAAUUAUAAAAGUACGGGAUGCGAUUCAUUAAUAAAAAAGGGCGAAUUGCAAUAUGCAUGAAAACUGGAGGGUCCAAAGUCGAAAAUAGUCUAUUGCGACAAAACACGCCGAUCCUUCCCUUGGGUCAAGUCACCGCGCGGAUCUCGGCCCUAUACGACGCCGUUUUGAAACCACUGAAAUGGCAUCAAACGAAGUCGUUUCACGCCACAUAUAUGAUACAACAUAAACCCUAAACAUCAGCAGACACUCCUUUUUAAAAAAAAAUCAUAACAGCCCUAAAGCCUAUCCUCUGUGCUGGUCUGCUGCUUUCGGACUUAUCAAGGCUCCGAUUACGACAGAGUUCGGCGGCUCCGAUGACAAGGUACACUUCCUUCCCUCUUUUUAUUUUAUCUUAUGCAUAAAAACAUAAAAAAAAGCAAAGAACACCCACAAGGAAUCGAAAAUCGCUUCUGUUUUGCUUGUUUUUUUAUUUUCGAAUAUAUAUCAAAAUAAGAAGAAUAAACCAAAAAAAAAUAUAAGAAUAGAAAGGAAAAUGAAAAAUCUUUUAGAAUCACCUAUGUUUUUGUAUUCUAUUUUUUCAGUCUUUUUUCAUAAAAUAUCUCCCCCUCUUUUACAUCGUUUGGUUUCUGGCUUAUAAAGCCGAAAGACCAAUGCUCUUUUUUUUAUUUUUUCACUAUUUCUACUCUUUUACGCUGCUUCUAUUUCUUUUUCAUAUUGCUUGCAGGUCUGUAGAGUCAAUUGGCAGAAAGCUUUGCCAUUUUGGUGCAACAUGGGUGAAGGCGUCGUCAUCGGGCGUGGUGCGCACUGAGGGCGCACAUAGGGCAGCUGCGGUGCGAGGGAAGGGAGGGAACCCUAGGGUUCCCUGAUGCUGUUUAGUUUUUAUUGGGUCGUUUAGGAUUUUAAAAUUUGGGCUGUUUUGGCCGGUUGUACAUGGACUACUGUUAUUUUUUUUACUAUUUAUUUUUUUGUUUUCUUUCGGGCCCGGGUGAAAUAUGGGCUUUACAAUAUGGUUAUUAGCUAUUACAUCACUAAGCAUGGGAUGCAUAUGUAUUCAUUUCCAUAUACGAACCAAGAUAUCAAAUCAUCCAAACAUCUUAUACUUUAAGGUAUAUACUAAACACUUAUAUACAUGACAUAAUUCCUUGACUCAAGAUAAUCAAAAUAGCUAUUGAAAUAAAGAUAACGUAAGCUUCGAUUCGGUCCAGGUUAACGCGUUCUGCAGGGUGAUGACCUACAAUGGAAGGGAGAACAAAUAAGGUAAGCAUAUAUGAUGUGUAGUAAGUUUAUCGACAUUAAACAAAACUUACCGUAUCAUUCAGUCAAAUACAAUAUUCUACCACAAUUUAACAAAGUUAGCUAGUCAUGGCAAAAUACAACAUCAACAAGGUGAGUUUAACAUAUAACCCAUUCAUAUGAUAUCUCAAUUAUGCAUCAAGUAGAAUCAUGUCAUUUUGGAUAGCCCACACAUACCGACCCUACGGAUAGCCCACUGUCGAUCGAGACAACAUGUACAACCUUAGGGGAAAAUUCUAAAAUUUGUGCUCACAUGGCCUGGCACAUAGCCCACACAUGCCUGUGUAGCCCACACGACCCAAAAUGGCCUAGCCCGUGUGUCACACACGACCUCGCACACGGCCUUGCACACAGCCUGUCACACAGCUAGGCACACGGCAGUGUGGCGUCGACAAGCCCCAAUUUUGGCUUUCACCAAUUUCUAUUUUUCGAGUAUCACAACAAUUAUUUUAGCAAAUGGUUUACGAAUUCAAACAAAAAAAUUAACCAUGAACUUUUCCUUUCAAAUCAGUACAACCCUCCAAAAUACUCACUGCCAACGAACAGUAAUCACCCAACACUCAAAUCGCUGAAGGAGCACCAAUCGCCUCUUGACUUUCUCCUAAACAAGAAUUAAACGAACACCAUCAAUAGAUAUCCUUUUGUUAUAAGAAUAACGAAAGUUCCCCAAUAAUCACCAAUCAUGAAACAGUAAAGCUACACCUACCCAAUAACUUACCUACUCAAAACGGAUCAAGAACCUGAAUGCACAACGCCCACAACCGCAACAAAAUGGACAAGAAGCAAAGAAGGGAAGCCAAAAUGGGAUGUAACCACAAGGAGGAAAGAUGUCAGAAAAAGAAUGGCAAAGUGAAAGAGAGGAACGUGAAAAAAAGAGAGAAUUUUUGGGAACUAUCAAAAAAAUAAAAUAAAAUAAUUAAAAUUCGAAAUUGCCCACUACCGACAGAAUCCACAAAAUUUGACCCACUAAACCUCAUCCAACUACCACAGAAUAUCAAUUCCAUCCAACUUUUACUACACAAACGACACACACACCGAAGCAAAAAUUAUUACCAAACACACACUCAAGGAUUCGAAUACAACACCAUAAUAAACUAACAUUUUACCACUAAACCAGCAAGCUUCUUCUAACAUAAAUUGACUGAAAAUAUAAUAUAAGUCCCGCAAUUAAAAAUAAAGCUAGGAACAAAAAUAACAAAGUUUUCAAAAGUGAGACUUGAAGCCAAGACCUCCAAUCCACACCCAUAGUACUUAACCACUAAAGCAAAUACUUAUAUCAAAAUUCAUAAAAAUAGGAUUUAAUAAAUUAGGGUGUUACAAAUACCCUUAAUUAUUUUGGCCAAAAUGUUGAGUUCGAUUUUUUUUUUUAAAUGCCCAUUCCAACUUCAUGUAAAUAUGCGUGUGUGUUAGAAAGGUGUUUUUAAAACAAUUUCAUGUAAUCAUGUUAACGUGUGAGUCUGUCUUGUAUAUGCGCUAGCCCAUGAUAAAUCCCAAGUGUGAGCAAAAUAGAUUGAAUCUGCAAAUUUACCAUUAUAUUAUAAUGAUUUUAAAAUAUUGUGUAAUUAGUUAUACCAAAUAUUUAGUAAACUUGGAAUUUUUGGUAAUAUCGCAAACAUUAAUUUAACAUUUUAAUUAUGUAAGACGUGUGGAGUUAUGGAAAUAAAUGAAUCGAGUGGCCAUCUCAAUACGACAAUGAUGGCUUUGAAUACAGCCGAAAAGCCCUUCCAGAAUAGCUACUAAAAUUUUGUGGCCGAGGUUCCACUAAAUUUAGCAAUAAAUUUACAUUAAAAUUGGGUUUCUUUUGUUCAAUUUUAUCUCUUUCUUCAAUAAAAUUUACAUAUGCGAUGGAAAAUAAACUUCAAAUUUGUAAACUUCCUAUAUAAAACAUUUCAAACACUUCAUUAAGACCAAACACUUGCUAUUCUUUUUCUAUUUAUCUCACAUCCUUGUGUCAUGGCAGCACCUUCCAGCAUUCCCCUUAAGUUCACUGUCCGACGUUGUGAACCAGAACUUGUUGCUCCUGCUAAGCCUACGCCAUAUGAACAAAAACUGUUAUCAGACAUUGAUGAUCAGGCGAGUUUGCAGUUUCAAGUUCCGGUAAUCAACUUUUAUCAAUAUGAACCUUCCAUGGAAGGAAAAGAUCCAGCUGAGGUUAUUAGGGAGGCAAUUGCACAAACCCUAGUGUGUUAUUAUCCAUUUGCAGGUAGAUUAAGAGAAGGGGCCACUGGUAAGCUUAUAGUGGAUUGCAUCGGUGAGGGUGUGAUAUUUAUAAAAGCCGAUGCUGAUGUUACACUUGAACAGUUUGGUGAACCACUUCGCCCACCAUUCCCUUGCUCCGAUGAGCUCCUUUAUAAUGUUCCUGGUUCUGAAGGGAUGCUAAAUUGCCCAUUGCUGUUGAUUCAGGUAAUAAUGUUCCAAUUAAUUAUGCUAUAUGACAAUAUGUAUGGGAGAGUUUUUCUUUUUUAAUUCAACAAUCUUCUUAUUUCUAUUGUUGCAUUGUUCUGGGUUUAUGAUUCUUUCUAAAUUUUAAUUAGAUAUUUGAGACAAACAAUAUAGCAAAAAAAAAAGAAGAGAGAAAGACUAAAUCAAAAGAGUUCGAACAAAAAAUUAUCUUUAAUCUAUGAGCUUUUCAUGUGUUUGAUUGAUGAGAAAACGAGCAUGGUUGAUGAUUCAACAAUCUUCUUAUUUCUAUUGUUGCAUUUUCCUGGGUUUAUGAUUCUUUCUAAAUUUUAGUAAGAUAUUUGAGAAAAACAAUAUAGCAAAAGAAGAGAGAGAGAGAGAGACUAAAUCAAAAGAGAUGGAACCAAAAAUUAUCUUUAAUUUGCCAUAAUAUAUCUUUUAUAAGAAAAGAAAAACUUAAUAACCUAUAUAAUUAGGUGUGUAUAGUAAAAUAUGUAUAAAAAUUAAAAUAAAAUUUCGGUUUAGUGGUAAAUUGAAUGUUUUAUUAAUGUAUUUGGUGUGGAUUCAUGUCUCUCCGUAUGCAUAUUUUUAUAACUUAUUUUAAAUACGAAAAGAUAUUUUUAUAAUCUUCUUAAUUGAGUCCGUGCUCGACCGUCUCAUUACUCCAACUCAAUCAAAUGCUUAAAUAAUAGUGUAUAUAUAUACAUAGUAUAUUCUGACACACUCACGAUAUAGGUAAAAAAUUAUCUAAUAAAUAUAUUUAUACAAAAAAAUAUAGAAAAUUAUAUAAAAGACAAAUAAGGUUUUUGUUGAAAUGAUAAAAUUAAAAUAUUAAAAGUCAUGAUAUUUUAAGUUCCAAUCCCAUCAUCUAUAUAUUUAUCUAGAUUUUAUAUGAAAAUAUAAAAAAAAAUUCUCAUUUUACCUAGUUAAUAAAGGAUACCAACUCAAUCAACCCUGUAUAUAUAUCUAUGUAUAUUAAUUGUAAAAAUAAAAUCCAAAAGAAUAAUCAAGCAUUCUUUUUGAACAAGUAAUCAUAUUUAACUAUCUUGUAUAUGUGAUGAAUAAAAGUCAGAUAAUUUGAUUAAAUAAAAAAUUAUUAGUCAAUAAAACCUUAAAUCAAUAUAAAAUUUAUUUAACUUAUGUUUUUUCUUUUAAAAGAAAUUAUUUGUAAUUGGUGAGAAUUCAACAUUAAUUUAUUCAUUCUUUUAUUGAAUAUUAUAAAAUUAAGCCAAUAGAUAUUUUAUUAAUUACAUACUUGGUAAAUUUGAAACUAUUUUUUAACCAAAAAUUAUUUGAUAAAUUUAUAUUGGAAUUUUAAAACGCUACACAUGUUCUCUAAGGAUGUAGUAAAUGAAAAGAAAUUUUAAAUAAAUGAGACCAUAUAAAUUUAAAAAUUAUACAUAAACUUUGAUUUAAUAUGUAAUUAUAUAUAUAAAUUUUAUUUUGGUUUAACCUCAAAGGUAUACUUUAAACUUUAAUUUUGAUUUCAUCAUACAUAUUUAAAGAAAUAAAUACAUCAAUUUAUUUUUAUAUUAGAUAAAUAUAAUUACUUAUGUAUGAAAUAUAUAAAUAUAAAAUGAUGUUAUAUCAAUAAUUGUGUUCAUAAUUUACAAGAAUGGGAUCAAACAAAAAUUUCAUGAAUUAAAUUGUACAAAAUCAAAAUUCAUACAUACAAUUACAAAUUAAAUUCUAAUUUAUGUAUAAUUUUAAUAUUUAUCCAAGGCUUACAACACAAAUUUAAUUGGAUGCAAUUAAUUAGGCUGCGCUGGUUUCGUCUUUCACCAUUUAUUACUUUAACUUUUUCAUAUUAAUUAAUAACCUAACAUUUUCUUUAAUGAAGUUAAUUAAUUAGGAUUAGUUUAUUGCUUAGUAGGUAACACGGUUGAAAUGCGGUGGUUUCAUCUUCGCUCUCCGUCUCAACCAUGUCAUGAGUGAUGGUAUUGGCCUAGCACAAUUCCUAUUUGCCAUCGGUGAAAAGGCAAGAGGCGUAGCCACUCACUCGAUCUCACCUGUUUGGGAAAGACAUCUCUUAGAUGCUCGACACCCGGCAGGAAUCACAUUUACCCACCGCGAGUAUGAUGAAGUGGAAGGCCCUGUCACCACCCCCAUUACCAUCUUGUCAUUUGACAAUCCGAUUCAACGUUCCUUUUCCUUUGGCUUUGCAGAAGUUUCAAUUCUUCGUAGCCUCCUACCUCCCCACCUUCGCCGUUGUACCACGUUUGAACUCAUAACGGCUUGUUUAUGGCGUUGCCGAACCCUUGCUAUAAAUCUUGACCCUGAUGAAGAGGUACGCAUGAUAUGCGCUGUUAAUGCACGUUCUAAAUUCAAUCCCUCAUUCCCAUCGGGAU
rnacentral:lncRNA from 1 species